AGAGUUUGAUCGUGGCUCAGGACGAACGCUGGCGGCGUGCCUAACACAUGCAAGUCGAGCGAUGAAGCCCUUCGGGGAUGGAUUAGCGGCGGACGGGUGAGUAACACGUGGGUAACCUGCCUCAAAGAGGGGGAUAGCCUUCCGAAAGGGAGAUUAAUACCGCAUAACAUUAGUUUUUCGCAUGAAGAACUAAUUAAAGGAGUAAUCCGCUUUGAGAUGGACCCGCGGCGCAUUAGCUAGUUGGUGAGGUAAAGGCUCACCAAGGCGACGAUGCGUAGCCGACCUGAGAGGGUGAUCGGCCACAUUGGAACUGAGACACGGUCCAGACUCCUACGGGAGGCAGCAGUGGGGAAUAUUGCACAAUGGGCGAAAGCCUGAUGCAGCAACGCCGCGUGAGUGAUGAAGGCCUUCGGGUUGUAAAGCUCUGUCUUUUGGGACGAUAAUGACGGUACCAAAGGAGGAAGCCACGGCUAACUACGUGCCAGCAGCCGCGGUAAUACGUAGGUGGCGAGCGUUGUCCGGAUUUACUGGGCGUAAAGGAUGCGUAGGCGGAUAUUUAAGUGAGAUGUGAAAUACCCGGGCUUAACUUGGGUGCUGCAUUUCAAACUGGAUAUCUAGAGUGCGGGAGAGGAGAAUGGAAUUCCUAGUGUAGCGGUGAAAUGCGUAGAGAUUAGGAAGAACACCAGUGGCGAAGGCGAUUCUCUGGACCGUAACUGACGCUGAGGCAUGAAAGCGUGGGUAGCAAACAGGAUUAGAUACCCUGGUAGUCCACGCCGUAAACGAUGAGUACUAGGUGUAGGAGGUAUCGACCCCUUCUGUGCCGCAGUUAACACAAUAAGUACUCCGCCUGGGAAGUACGAUCGCAAGAUUAAAACUCAAAGGAAUUGACGG
rnacentral:rRNA from 1 species